rnacentral:rRNA from 1 species
UAACACGUGGGGAACCUGCCCCAUAGUCUGGGAUACCACUUGGAAACAGGUGCUAAUACCGGAUAAGAAAGCAGAUCGCAUGAUCAGCUUUUAAAAGGCGGCGUAAGCUGUCGCUAUGGGAUGGCCCCGCGGUGCAUUAGCUAGUUGGUAAGGUAAAGGCUUACCAAGGCGAUGAUGCGUAGCCGAGUUUAGAGACUGAUCGGCCACAUUGGGACUGAGACACGGCCCAAACUCCUACGGGAGGCAGCAGUC